rnacentral:rRNA from 1 species
UACGUAGGGGGCAAGCGUUGUCCGGAUUCAUUGGGCGUAAAGAGCGUGUAGGCGGCCAGGUAGGUCGGUUGUGAAAACUGGAGGCUCAACCUUCAGAGGUCGACCGAAACCAUCUGGCUAGAGUCCGGGAGAGGAGAGUGGAAUUCCCAGUGUAGCGGUGAAAUGCGUAGAUAUUGGGAGGAACACCAGUGGCGAAGGCGGCUCACUGGACCGGUACUGACGCUGAGGCGCGAAAGCGUGGGGAGCAAACAGG